rnacentral:rRNA from 1 species
UAGGGAAUCUUCGGCAAUGGACGAAAGUCUGACCGAGCAACGCCGCGUGAGUGAAGAAGGUUUUCGGAUCGUAAAACUCUGUUGUUAGAGAAGAACAAGUACGUUAGUAACUGAACGUCCCCUGACGGUAUCUAACCAGAAAGCCACGGCUAACCACGUGCCAGCAGCCGCGGUAAUACGUAGGUGGCAAGCGUUGUCCGGAUUUAUUGGGCGUAAAGCGAGCGCAGGCGGUUUCUUAAGUCUGAUGUGAAAGCCCCCGGCUCAACCGGGGAGGGUCAUUGGGAACUGGGAGACUUGGGUGCAGAAAAGGAGAGUGGAAUUCCAUGUGUAGCGAUAAAAUGCGUAGAUAUAUGGAGGAACACCAGUGGCGAAGGCGGCUCUCUGGUCUGUAACUGACGCUGAGGCUCGAAAGCGUGGGGAGCAAACAGG